rnacentral:lncRNA from 1 species
AUCAGUAUUUCUUGUCCCAGGACAUCUUUACUGUCCUUAGCAUCCUGCCUCUCCCUUGGUCAGUUGCUCCCCUCUCACCUUUGUUGGAGCCCACAGUCCCUUUCCUCUCCUGAAUACCAACUCCUCACCCAAAGAAAGCCCCGCUUUCACCAAGGGUCUAAGGGCAGUCAUUUGCACCUUAGUGUAAAUUGGCUAGCAGUUCGUUCAUUCAACAAUAUUCAUCAAACGCCUACUUUUUAUUGAUUUUUUUCCCUUUAACAUGUUUGCUGGGUGCUUAAAAAUUUUUAGCUGCUGUGCUGAAGACAAGAAUACCAAACCCUAGACUCUGACCUUGAGGAGCUCAUGGUCUACUGAGGGGACAGAAGCGAAGAAUAAUGAUAACACAAGGUGUUCAGAGGGGAGAGGUAUGACUUGAACUGUGUUCCCUCCAAACUCGUAUGUUGAAGUACUAACCCUCAGGACCUGGAAUGUGACCAUAUUUGGAGAUAGAGUCUUUACAGAGGAAAUCAAGUUAAAAUGAGGUCAGUACAGUGGGCCCAAAUCCAAUAGGACUGGUUUCCUUAGAAAAGGGAAAUUUGGACGCAGAGACAUACAGCAAGGAAGACAAUGUGAAGAGACGGGGAGAAAGGCAGCCAGGGAGAGGGACCAGGAGUCAUUCCUUUCCUCACAGCCUCGAAGGAACCAGGCCUGCCGACACCUUGAUCUCGGACUUCCAGCCUCCACAUUGGGAGACAAUCCAGGCCUUUGUUACAGCAGCCCUGGGAACUAAUGUAUGGUGCCACUGGGGUUCUAGAGACACUCAGAGAACGAAGCAGUUAACUCUGCCUUUGGAAUCAAAGAAUGCUCCUCCAAGAAAGCCUGGGGGAGACAGGUGACCCCAGGUGUCCCGAUUCCAGGUUCCAAUGUUUUGCUCUUGCAACAUGGUGAUGAAAUCAACCAGCUCCAGGAACAGCAGUUGCAGUUUGCAACAUAGAUACUGAUGCCCCAAAUCUGCCUCAGGCUUCGCUCCAGCAGUCGCAGAGGCAAGAUGACCUUGGGUCCCCAACUUCAGCCACAGGCAUGUCCCAGGUCUCCUGAGCAGGCGCUCCACCCUGGAGAGGAGACACUUACAUCGUCAUGCAAAGACAUCAAGAAACCUCACAUUAGGCUGCCUGCUUGACGGUCGUCACAGAGCUCCUGUGUGCCAGGGAGAGCUCAUAAAAAGUCCUGGGGACACCAAAAUGGGUAAGAUGCCACGUCUGCCCUUAAAGGUUCUCACACCCUAGGAGGAAACUGCAAGGGCUUUCCUUUGGUCAAAUUGGAAGCCAUUCCAAAAUAUCGUGCAGACUGUAGAAGGAGAGG